rnacentral:rRNA from 1 species
UACGGGGGGGGCAAGCGUUGUUCGGAAUUACUGGGCGUAAAGGGCUCGUAGGCGGCCAACUAAGUCAGACGUGAAAUCCCUCGGCUUAACCGGGGAACUGCGUCUGAUACUGGAUGGCUUGAAUCCGGGAGAGGGAUGCGGAAUUCCAGGUGUAGCGGUGAAAUGCGUAGAUAUCGGGAGGAACACCAGUGGCGAAGGCGAGUCUCUGGGAUGAUGCUGACGCUGAGGCGCGAAAGCCAGGGGAGCAAACGGG